AGGAAUCUACCGUGCCCUGCGGAAUAGCUCCGGGAAACUGGAAUUAAUACCGCAUACGCCCUACGGGGGAAAGAUUUAUCGGGGUAUGAUGAGCCCGCGUUGGAUUAGCUAGUUGGUGGGGUAAAGGCCUACCAAGGCGACGAUCCAUAGCUGGUCUGAGAGGAUGAUCAGCCACAUUGGGACUGAGACACGGCCCAAACUCCUACGGGAGGCAGCAGUGGGGAAUAUUGGACAAUGGGCGCAAGCCUGAUCCAGCCAUGCCGCGUGAGUGAUGAAGGCCUUGGGGUUGUAAAGCUCUUUCACCGGAGAAGAUAAUGACGGUAUCCGGAGAAGAAGCCCCGGCUAACUUCGUGCCAGCAGCCGCGGUAAUACGAAGGGGGCUAGCGUUGUUCGGAAUUACUGGGCGUAAAGCGCACGUAGGCGGAUAUUUAAGUCAGGGGUGAAAUCCCAGAGCUCAACUCUGGAACUGCCUUUGAUACUGGGUAUCUUGAGUAUGGAAGAGGUAAGUGGAAUUGCGAGU
rnacentral:rRNA from 1 species